AGCUCCAAUAGCGUAUAUUAAAGUUGCUGCGGUUGAAACGCUCGUAGUUGGAUCUCGGCGGGCGGGGAGCGGUGCGUUGUUCGACGCGACGGCUCCUCCUGCCCGUGAUGUGUGCGGCGGUCCGCGGCGGGGUGCUCUUCACCGAGCGUCCCCUCGCGCCGCCGGGUUUACUUUGAAAAAAUCAGAGUGCUCAGAGCAGGCGCCUCGCGCCUGGAUAUCCGUGCAUGGAAUAAUGGAAUAGGACGUCGUUUCUAUUGCGUUGGUUUUCGGAAGUCGACGUAAUGAUGGACAGGGACGGUCGGGGGCAUGAGUAUUCCGGCGACAGAGGUGAAAUUCUUGGACCGCCGGAAGACUAACGACUGCGAAAGCAUUUGCCAAGAACGUUUUCG
rnacentral:rRNA from 1 species